GUCUGUAUCCAUGUCACCCUAAACAAGCCCAAUCCCAUCUGAUCUCGGAAGCUAAGCAGGGUUGGGCCUGGUUAGUACUUGGAUGGGAGACUGCCUAGGAAGACCAGGUGCUGUAGGCA
rfam:Pteropus alecto contig22203, whole genome shotgun sequence.